rnacentral:rRNA from 1 species
UACGUAGGGGGCAAGCGUUGUCCGGAAUUAUUGGGCGUAAAGAGCUCGUAGGCGGUUCGUCGCGUCGGCUGUGAAAUCCCGAGGCUCAACCUCGGGUCUGCAGUCGAUACGGGCGGACUGGAGUUCGGCAGGGGAGACUGGAAUUCCUGGUGUAGCGGUGAAAUGCGCAGAUAUCAGGAGGAACACCGAUGGCGAAGGCAGGUCUCUGGGCAUUAACUGACGCUGAGGAGCGAAAGCAUGGGGAGCGAACAGG